GGCUAUUUAAGUGAAAAGCACAAGAUUGAAAUCUUAAUGAUGACGCGGUAUGGAGAUAGAACAAGAACCCAAAAUGAAGUUUUGCAUUUAUUCAGACAGAAGUAUCCUGAUUUACCUCCCAUAUCUCAAAGUACUAUAAGUAAGAUUGAAAAACAGUUUCGGGAAAAUGGUCACGUAAGAACAAUAACUAGUUCUCGUCGAUCUGCGCUUAAUGAAGACCCCAAAAUCAAUGUUUUAUUAGCCAAUGAAGAAAGUCGUAAUAUUCCCACUAAGCAGGUACCGCGCGAAUUGGAAGUGAGCCAGUCUUCAGUAGUAAGGGUUCUUGAAGCAGCAAAAUUUCAUUCCUCUAAACUGAAAAUUCUCCAGGAACUCAAUGAGGAGGAUGCAGAUAGAAGAAUUAAAUUUUGUGAACAAUUUAUGGAAUCAAUGCAGAAUAAUAAUCUUAUCACAGAAAACAUUCUCUUUUCCGGUGAGUCGACAUUUAUGCUGCACAGAGAAGUAAAUCGUCAAAAUUGCCGUUAUUGGGCACAAGAAAAUCCAUGUUGGAUGAGGCAAGGCCACACUCAGAAAAAGUAAAUGUUUUUGCAGAAAUUCUAGAUCAGCAAGUUACAGGCCCAAUUUUCUUCAAAGAAAAUUUAAAUGGAGCAAGAAGCUGAUAUGCCGAAUAGAAACAUCUGGCCUUCCCAUUUUACGAGAACUGCUUGAAACUAUCUGGAUACUAUUUUUCCAGGAAGAUGGAUUGGCAGGAGAGGACCUUUUGAAUGGCCACCAAGAUCGCCCGAUUUGAUUCCGCUGGAUUUCUUCCUAUGGGGAUAUUUGAAAUCCAAAGUUUAUGUGACCAUGCUGGCAAAUAUUGAGGAGUUGAAAACUUGAAUAAGGCAAGAGUAUCGAAACAUUUCUCUAGAAUGCAUAUGAAACGUUAAAAAUUAAUUUGUAGUACCUUUAGGGCAUUGCCAAAUAGUAAAUGGUUUACAUUUUGAACACUUAUUAAAGAAAAAGAUUUAAAAGAACCCUCUUUAAGUUUAUGAAAUACAUUUUCUUUAACGCCCUGUAUCUUAAAAACAAUUGAAUAAAGGUAUUUAUUUAU